AGAAGGACAGAGUCAGGACUGCUGAUUUGAGAUAACAUCCUCACUUGUAAACUGAUUUUCUGAAGAAAGAGAAGCUAAGCCAGAAGCAGGAUCACUGAUGGGGAGAUUCCUGGGUACUGGCGUCGGGAACUGAAGCAGCACUGUUGCCCACCCAGAUCGACGUUGGCUGCUUCCUGACAGUGCCGCGGGGCUCAGGAUAAACCUUCGCAUG